GGGUUGUGAGGUUAAGCGACUAAGCGUACACGGUGGAUGCCCUGGCAGUCAGAGGCGAUGAAGGACGUGCUAAUCUGCGAUAAGCGUCGGUAAGGUGAUAUGAACCGUUAUAACCGGCGAUUUCCGAAUGGGGAAACCCAGUGUGAUUCGUCACACUAUCAUUAACUGAAUCCAUAGGUUAAUGAGGCGAACCGGGGGAACUGAAACAUCUAAGUACCCCGAGGAAAAGAAAUCAACCGAGAUUCCCCCAGUAGCGGCGAGCGAACGGGGAGGAGCCCAGAGCCUGAAUCAGUGUGUGUGUUAGUGGAAGCGUCUGGAAAGGCGCGCGAUACAGGGUGACAGCCCCGUACACAAAAAUGCACAUGCUGUGAGCUCGAUGAGUAGGGCGGGACACGUGGUAUCCUGUCUGAAUAUGGGGGACCAUCCUCCAAGGCUAAAUACUCCUGACUGACCGAUAGUGAACCAGUACCGUGAGGGAAAGGCGAAAAGAACCCCGGCGAGGGGAGUGAAAAAGAACCUGAAACCGUGUACGUACAAGCAGUGGGAGCACAGAGCAAUCUGUGUGACUGCGUACCUUUUGUAUAAUGGGUCAGCGACUUAUAUUCUGUAGCAAGGUUAACCGAAUAGGGGAGCCGAAGGGAAACCGAGUCUUAACUGGGCGUUAAGUUGCAGGGUAUAGACCCGAAACCCGGUGAUCUAGCCAUGGGCAGGUUGAAGGUUGGGUAACACUAACUGGAGGACCGAACCGACUAAUGUUGAAAAAUUAGCGGAUGACUUGUGGCUGGGGGUGAAAGGCCAAUCAAACCGGGAGAUAGCUGGUUCUCCCCGAAAGCUAUUUAGGUAGCGCCUCGUGAAUUCAUCUCCGGGGGUAGAGCACUGUUUCGGCAAGGGGGUCAUCCCGACUUACCAACCCGAUGCAAACUGCGAAUACCGGAGAAUGUUAUCACGGGAGACACACGGCGGGUGCUAACGUCCGUCGUGAAGAGGGAAACAACCCAGACCGCCAGCUAAGGUCCCAAAGUCAUGGUUAAGUGGGAAACGAUGUGGGAAGGCCCAGACAGCCAGGAUGUUGGCUUAGAAGCAGCCAUCAUUUAAAGAAAGCGUAAUAGCUCACUGGUCGAGUCGGCCUGCGCGGAAGAUGUAACGGGGCUAAACCAUGCACCGAAGCUGCGGCAGCGACACUGUGUGUUGUUGGGUAGGGGAGCGUUCUGUAAGCCUGUGAAGGUGUGCUGUGAGGCAUGCUGGAGGUAUCAGAAGUGCGAAUGCUGACAUAAGUAACGAUAAAGCGGGUGAAAAGCCCGCUCGCCGGAAGACCAAGGGUUCCUGUCCAACGUUAAUCGGGGCAGGGUGAGUCGACCCCUAAGGCGAGGCCGAAAGGCGUAGUCGAUGGGAAACAGGUUAAUAUUCCUGUACUUGGUGUUACUGCGAAGGGGGGACGGAGAAGGCUAUGUUGGCCGGGCGACGGUUGUCCCGGUUUAAGCGUGUAGGCUGGUUUUCCAGGCAAAUCCGGAAAAUCAAGGCUGAGGCGUGAUGACGAGGCACUACGGUGCUGAAGCAACAAAUGCCCUGCUUCCAGGAAAAGCCUCUAAGCAUCAGGUAACAUCAAAUCGUACCCCAAACCGACACAGGUGGUCAGGUAGAGAAUACCAAGGCGCUUGAGAGAACUCGGGUGAAGGAACUAGGCAAAAUGGUGCCGUAACUUCGGGAGAAGGCACGCUGAUAUGUAGGUGAAGUCCCUCGCGGAUGGAGCUGAAAUCAGUCGAAGAUACCAGCUGGCUGCAACUGUUUAUUAAAAACACAGCACUGUGCAAACACGAAAGUGGACGUAUACGGUGUGACGCCUGCCCGGUGCCGGAAGGUUAAUUGAUGGGGUCAGCGCAAGCGAAGCUCUUGAUCGAAGCCCCGGUAAACGGCGGCCGUAACUAUAACGGUCCUAAGGUAGCGAAAUUCCUUGUCGGGUAAGUUCCGACCUGCACGAAUGGCGUAAUGAUGGCCAGGCUGUCUCCACCCGAGACUCAGUGAAAUUGAACUCGCUGUGAAGAUGCAGUGUACCCGCGGCAAGACGGAAAGACCCCGUGAACCUUUACUAUAGCUUGACACUGAACAUUGAGCCUUGAUGUGUAGGAUAGGUGGGAGGCUUUGAAGUGUGGACGCCAGUCUGCAUGGAGCCGACCUUGAAAUACCACCCUUUAAUGUUUGAUGUUCUAACGUGGACCCGUGAUCCGGGUUGCGGACAGUGUCUGGUGGGUAGUUUGACUGGGGCGGUCUCCUCCUAAAGAGUAACGGAGGAGCACGAAGGUUGGCUAAUCCUGGUCGGACAUCAGGAGGUUAGUGCAAUGGCAUAAGCCAGCUUGACUGCGAGCGUGACGGCGCGAGCAGGUGCGAAAGCAGGUCAUAGUGAUCCGGUGGUUCUGAAUGGAAGGGCCAUCGCUCAACGGAUAAAAGGUACUCCGGGGAUAACAGGCUGAUACCGCCCAAGAGUUCAUAUCGACGGCGGUGUUUGGCACCUCGAUGUCGGCUCAUCACAUCCUGGGGCUGAAGUAGGUCCCAAGGGUAUGGCUGUUCGCCAUUUAAAGUGGUACGCGAGCUGGGUUUAGAACGUCGUGAGACAGUUCGGUCCCUAUCUGCCGUGGGCGCUGGAGAACUGAGGGGGGCUGCUCCUAGUACGAGAGGACCGGAGUGGACGCAUCACUGGUGUUCGGGUUGUCAUGCCAAUGGCACUGCCCGGUAGCUAAAUGCGGAAGAGAUAAGUGCUGAAAGCAUCUAAGCACGAAACUUGCCCCGAGAUGAGUUCUCCCUGACCCUUUAAGGGUCCUUAAGGAACGUUGAAGACGACGACGUUGAUAGGCCGGGUGUGUAAGCGCAGCGAUGCGUUGAGCUAACCGGUACUAAUGAACCGUGAGGCUUAACCUUACAACGCCGAAGGUGUUU
rnacentral:rRNA from 1 species